rnacentral:rRNA from 1 species
GCCAAACAGCUAGCUCAAUUACCCAAUAACUAAACAAUAUAAAUAAAACAAAAUAAGCCUAACACCAAAAAUUAAAUCAUUCUUUUACCUUAGUAUGGGCGACAGAAAAGGUUACACCUGGAGCAAUAGAAAAAGUACCGCAAGGGAAAGCUGAAAGAGAAAUGAAAUAACUUAUAUAAGCACCAAAAAGCAAAGAUUAAAUCUUGUACCUUUCGCAUCAUGAUUUAGCCAGUAUAUCCAAGCAAAGAGACCUUUAGUUUGAAACCCCGAAACCAAGUGAGCUACCCCGAGACAGCCUAUUAAGGGCCAACCCGUCUCUGUGGCAAAAGAGUGGGAAGAGCUCCGGGUAGAGGUGACAGACCUACCGAACUUGGUGAUAGCUGGUUGCCUAAGAAGUGAAUAGAAGUUCAGCCUCGUACUCCCUGAGUCAAAAGAUAUAAAAAGAUAUUAGAGGGAAAUAUAUGAGAGUUAGUUAAAGGGGGUACAGCCCCUUUAACAAAGGACACAACCUUUCCAGGAGGAUAAAGAUCAUAAUACAUAAGACAUCCUGUUCUAGUGGGCCUAAAGGCAGCCAUCUAAACAGAAAGCGUUAAAGCUCAGACAGAAAUAGGUUUAUUAUUCCGACAAGAAAUCUUACUCCCCUAAAUAUUAUUAGGCCAGCCCAUGCCCACAUGGGAGAGACUAUGCUAAAAUGAGUAACAAGAAGGCCAGCCCUUCUCCAAGCACAAGUGUAAGCCAAACCGGACCGACCAUUGGCAAUUAACGAACUCAACCCGAGAGAGUAAUGUGUAUUACAACGAAACCAGGAAGAACCCACAAUUAACCCAUCGUUACCCCCACACUGGCGUGCUAUUAAAGGAAAGACUAAAAGAAGGGAAAGGAACUCGGCAAACACAAGCCUCGCCUGUUUACCAAAAACAUCGCCUCCUGCAACACAACCAAGUAUAGGAGGUCCAGCCUGCCCAGUGACUACAAGUUCAACGGCCGCGGUAUUUUGACCGUGCAAAGGUAGCGCAAUCACUUGUCUCUUAAAUGGAGACCUGUAUGAAUGGCUAAACGAGGGCUUAACUGUCUCCCCCCUCCAGUCAGUGAAAUUGAUCUACCCGUGCAGAAGCGGG